UCUAACUCCUUCAAUUUUGUUGGUGAUGAGGACUGGUGAGCCACUUCUAAAACCUUGAACUUUGAUAUUAUUGUUGUUGCUCUUCUUCUUCUAUUGCUGCUCAUAAUAUAUACCUGCAGUGGUACUACAAUCUUUAUGUGUAUGGUUUUGUAUUAUUGCUAUAUGAAUUACGUUUUUUGUCAUACUCUUCAUGUUUUCACUUUCCUUGCUUGAUAGAUGGGUUGUGUGGUGCUGUAUAGAUGCUUGAAUUACGUUUUGUAUUGUUGCAAUUUUCUUGCUUUUAACUCAGUCCUAUAUGCAAUCAAAGAUGCUAUCAAGCUUUUAAUACUACAUUACUCAUCUGGUAUUACUGCAUAUGCUUAUGCAGUUGAGGAUAUGUCAGAAGGAUCGGUUGUACAAGUAUACUUUAGGCCAAUGAAUUUGUAGGAAGUUGAUUAUCCACACUUCUGAUGAAUGGUGUUCUUUACAGGGAUGUGUCUCCUCUGAUGUUUUAAUGUUGAAUCAAAUAGGAUAUACACAGGCAAAGGAAGCUU